GAUGAACGCUGGCGGCGUGCCUAAUACAUGCAAGUCGAGCGAACAGACGAGGAGCUUGCUCCUCUGACGUUAGCGGCGGACGGGUGAGUAACACGUGGAUAACCUACCUAUAAGACUGGGAUAACUUCGGGAAACCGGAGCUAAUACCGGAUAAUAUAUUGAACCGCAUGGUUCAAUAGUGAAAGACGGUUUUGCUGUCACUUAUAGAUGGAUCCGCGCCGCAUUAGCUAGUUGGUAAGGUAACGGCUUACCAAGGCAACGAUGCGUAGCCGACCUGAGAGGGUGAUCGGCCACACUGGAACUGAGACACGGUCCAGACUCCUACAGGAGGCAGCAGUAGGGAAUCUUCCGCAAUGGGCGAAAGCCUGACGGAGCAACGCCGCGUGAGUGAUGAAGGUCUUCGGAUCGUAGAACUCUGUUAUUAGGGAAGAACAAAUGUGUAAGUAACUAUGCACGUCUUGACGGUACCUAAUCAGAAAGCCACGGCUAACUACGUG
rnacentral:rRNA from 1 species